ACGCUGGCGGCAGGCCUAACACAUGCAAGUCGAGCGGCAGCGGGACCUUCGGGUUGCCGGCGAGCGGCGGACGGGUGAGUAAUGCCUAGGAAUCUGCCUGUUAGUGGGGGAUAACGCGGGGAAACUCGCGCUAAUACCGCAUACGUCCUACGGGAGAAAGUGGGGGACCCUCGGGCCUCACGCUAACAGAUGAGCCUAGGUCGGAUUAGCUAGUUGGUGGGGUAAAGGCCCACCAAGGCGACGAUCCGUAACUGGUCUGAGAGGAUGAUCAGUCACACUGGAACUGAGACACGGUCCAGACUCCUACGGGAGGCAGCAGUGGGGAAUAUUGGACAAUGGGCGAAAGCCUGAUCCAGCCAUGCCGCGUGUGUGAAGAAGGUCUUCGGAUUGUAAAGCACUUUAAGUUGGGAGGAAGGGCGCUCGGUGAAUACCCAAGCGUCUUGACGUUACCGACAGAAUAAGCACCGGCUAACUUCGUGCCAGCAGCCGCGGUAAUACGAAGGGUGCAAGCGUUAAUCGGAAUUACUGGGCGUAAAGCGCGCGUAGGUGGUUCGGCAAGUUGGAUGUAAAAGCCCCGGGCUCAACCUGGGAACCGCAUCCAAAACUACUGGGCUAGAGUACGGUAGAGGGUGGUG
rnacentral:rRNA from 1 species